rnacentral:rRNA from 1 species
AUUAUCAAGAACGAAAGUUAGAGGUUCGAAGGCGAUCAGAUACCGCCCUAGUUCUAACCAUAAACGAUGCCAGCCAGCGAUCCGGCUGUGUUCCUCAAAUGACACGCCGGGCAGCUUCCGGGAAACCAAAGCUUUUGGGUUCCGGGGGAAGUAUGGUUGCAAAGCUGAAACUUAAAGGAAUUGACGGAAGGGCACCACCAGGAAUGGAGCCUGCGGCUUAAUUUGACUCAACACGGGAAAACUUACCCGGCCCGGACACAGGAAGGAUUGACAGAUUAAGAGCUCUUUCUUGAUUCUGUGGGUGGUGGUGCAUGGCCGUUCUUAGUUGGUGGAGCGAUUUGUCUGGUUAAUUCCGAUAACGAACGAGACUCUAGCCUACUAAAUAGACGUUCCGAUCAUCUCCGUCGGACGUUCUUCUUAGAGGGACAAGCGGCGUUUAGCCGCACGAGACAGAGCAAUAACAGGUCUGUGAUGCCCUUAGAUGUCCGGGGCCGCACGCGCGCUACAUUGAAGGAAUCAGCGUGUGCUUUCCCUGUCCGACAGGACUGGGUAACCCGUUGAACCUCCUUCGUGCUGGGGAUAGGGGCUUGUAAUUGUUCCCCUUGAACGAGGAAUUCCCAGUAAGCACGAGUCAUAAGCUCGUGUUGAUUACGUCCCUGCCCUUUGUACACACCGCCCGUCGCUACUACCGAUUGAAUGAUUUAGUGAGGUCUUCGGACUGGCGCUCGGAGCGGCCCUCGGGUCGCGCCGGCGUGCCGGAAAGAUGACCAAACUUGAUCAUUUAGAGGAAGUAAMAGUCGUAACRAGGUUKC